GACGAGGGAUCCUAGCGUUGUUCGGAAUCAUUGGGCGUAAAGCGGAUGUAGGUGGCUUUGUAAGUCAGAUGUGAAAGCCCCGGGCUCAACCCGGGGAAGUGCAUUUGAUACUGCGAAGCUUGAGUGCUAGAGAGGUUACUAGAAUCCUGGUGUAGUGGUGAAAUACGUAGAUAUCAGGUGGAAUACCGGGAGGCGAAGGCGGGGUAACCAGCUAGACACUGACACUCAGAUCCGAAAGUGUGGGGGAUCAAAACAGGG
rnacentral:rRNA from 1 species